rnacentral:rRNA from 1 species
AGCAGCCGCGGUAAUUCCAGCUCCAAUAGCGUAUAUUAAAGUUGUUGCAGUUAAAAAGCCCGUAGUUGAAUUUCGAGAUCAAAUCGUUGGUCGUACCUUGGUACGUACUGGCGAUAUUGGUUUCUCCCUUCUGACGAACCAAGAUGUCAUUAAUUUGGUGUCUUGGGGAAUCAGGACUGUUACUUUGAAAAAAUUAGAGUGUUUAAAGCAGGCUCGCGCUUGAAUACAUUAGCAUGGAAUAAUGAAAUAGGACGUUUGAUUCUAUUUUGUUGGUUUCUAGGAUCGACGUAAUGAUUAAUAGGGAUAGUUGGGGGCAUUAGUAUUCAAUUGUCAGAGGUGAAAUUCUUGGAUUUAUUGAAGACUAACUACUGCGAAAGCAUUUGCCAAGGAUGUUUUCAUUAAUCAAGAACGAAAGUUAGGGGAUCGAAGACGAUCAGAUACCGUCGUAGUCUUAACCAUAAACUAUGCCGACUAGGGAUCGGAUGAUGUUAAUUUUUAAUGACUCAUUCGGCGCCUUACG